ensembl:snoRNA SNORA70 Small nucleolar RNA SNORA70
CUGCAGCCAAUUAAACGGACGUGCUCCCCUCCCCAUGGGGCCCAGUGUGUAAUGGCUGCAAACAGCAGCCUCCUGGGUAGUGUCUGCAGCCUGUUGCAUAUACGGGCUGCACUAAGGGACUCAUGCCUGAGCC